GAUGGUAGGAUAGAGGCCUACCAUGGUGGUAACGGGUAACGGGGUGUUAGGGCACGACACCGGAGAGGGAGCCUGAGAAACGGCUACCACAUCCAAGGAUGGCAGCAGGCGCGCAAAUUACCCAAUCCCGACACGGGGAGGUAGUGACAAUAAAUAACAAUACGGGGUUCUUUAGGAUCUCGUAAUUGGAAUGAGUACAAUUUAAAUCUCUUAACGAGGAACAAUUGGAGGGCAAGUCUGGUGCCAGCAGCCGCGGUAAUUCCAGCUCCAAUAGCGUAUAUUAAAGUUGUUGCAGUUAAAAAGCUCGUAGUUGAAUUUCGGGGUUAGUAGGUUGGUCAUGCCUCUGGUAUGUACUGGUCUCACUGAUUCCUCCUUCCUUAUGAACCGUAAUGCCAUUAAUUUGGUGUUGCGGGGAAUUUGGACUGUUACUUUGAAAAAAUUAGAGUGUUUAAAGCAAGCUAACGCUUGAAUACAUUAGCAUGGAAUAAUGAAAUAGGACGUUCGAUCUUAUUUUGUUGGUUUCUAGGAUUGACGUAAUGAUUAAUAGGGAUAGUUGGGGGCAUUAGUAUUCAAUUGUCAGAGGUGAAAUUCUUGGAUUUAUUGAAGACUAACUACUGCGAAAGCAUUUGCCAAGGAUGUUUUCAUUAAUCAAGAACGAAAGUUAGGGGAUCGAAGACGAUCAGAUACCGUCGUAGUCUUAACCAUAAACUAUGCCGACUAGGGAUCGGA
rnacentral:rRNA from 1 species